UUGCAUCGAUGAAAGACGCAGCGAAAUGCGAUAAGUAAUGUGAAUUGCAGAAUUCAGUGAAUCAUCGAAUCUUUGAACGCACCUUGCGCCCCUUGGCAUUCCGAGGGGCACGUCUGUUUGAGUGUCGUGAACUCCUCCACCCUCCACCUUUUUCGGAAGGUGUUGGGCUGGGAUUUGGGAGCUUGCGGGUCCCUGGCCGAUCCGCUCUCCUUGAAUACAUUAGCGAAGCCCUUGCGGCCUUGGUGUGAUAGUCAUCUACGCCUCGGUUUAGCGAAUACAUGGGAAUUGCUUCCAACCGUCUUGCAAGAGACAAUCACUUCAAACUUGACCUCAAAUCAGGCGGGACUACCCGCUGAACUUAAGCAUAUCAUUAAGGCGGAGGAAA
rnacentral:rRNA from 1 species